UACGGAGGGGGCUAGCGUUGUUCGGAAUUACUGGGCGUAAAGCGCACGCAGGCGGAUUGAUAAGUCAGGGGUGAAAUCCCGGAGCUCAACUUCGGAAUUGCCUUUGAUACUGUCUAUCUUGAGUCCGGGAGAGGUGAGUGGAAUUCCUAGUGUAGAGGUGAAAUUCGUAGAUAUUCGGAGGAACACCAGUGGCGAAGGCGGCUCACUGGCCCGAUACUGACGCUGAGGCACGAAAGCGUGGGGAGCAAACAGG
rnacentral:rRNA from 1 species